UACAGAGGUCCCGAGCGUUGUUCGGAUUUAUUGGGCGUAAAGGGUGCGUAGGCGGCGGAGUAAGUUGGGUGUGAAAUCCCGGGGCUUAACCUCGGAAUGGCAUUCAAUACUGCUUCGCUUGAGUACUGGAGAGGAGGCUGGAAUUUACGGUGUAGCAGUGAAAUGCGUAGAUAUCGUAAGGAAGGCCGGUGGCGAAAGCGAGCCUCUGGACAGUUACUGACGCUGAGACGCGAAAGCGUGGGGAGCAAACAGG
rnacentral:rRNA from 1 species